CUGGUCAGCAGAUGGCGUUUCGUGUUGGUAUCUUCCUUGUCAUUAACAGAUUUCCCUCUCAAUCGCUGAAAUGCAAAAAGUACUGUGAAGAUCUUUGGCACCUGAAAAGUUUACGUUCCAGUACGGUGUUUGCAGCAGGAGCUGGAGGAAGUUUCUAGGAAGAGGAUAUGGAUUGCUGCUCUCCUCUACUGUAUGGCGUACGUGGAUACUCCUGGAUUGUCCUGGAGGUGGCAAGUAAACAAAUAGGGAUGCACCCAGAAAGACCUGGACCAAAUCUCACCAAAACCUUCUCCCCGGCAUCUCCCAAGCUCCACAUCCCUCUCAUCACUCACACAGCGUCCCUUGGGGAGAAGCAGAGCAGAGGGCUGGAGGAUCAGGGCCACAUUCAGUAGACAUGGUGCCUCCGGAGAAGCAGCCAUUUUCCCCAGAAAAUAUGGCUCAUUACCAGCACAGACAAAAUGAAG